rnacentral:lncRNA from 1 species
UGUUCAGCACAAAUGAAGACCAAUACUGACCGUUCCAGCUCAACAAACAUUUGGGAUAUUUACUCAUCACGUCUAGAGCAUACCACGAAGAAGAAUCAUCCCAAAAGCUUUCCACAUGAAGAAGAUAUUGAAGAUACACUCAGGCAGAUCUUCAAAGGAUCCGAUGGAGACAUACGACCACUUAUUGAAUCCCUCCAACCAGACCAGAA